UAUAGCUCAGUUGGUAAAGCAUGAGACUCUUAAUCUGAGGGUCAUGGGUUCGAGCUCCAUGUUGGGUGAAAG